rnacentral:rRNA from 1 species
CCUACGGGAGGCAGCAGUGGGGAAUAUUGGGCAAUGGUCGCAAGCCUGACCCAGCAACGCCGCGUGAAGGAAGAAGGCUUUCGGUUUGUAAACUUCUUUUAAGCGGGAAGCGCAGAAGACGGUACCUCUUGAAUAAGCCACGGCUAACUACGUGCCAGCAGCCGCGUUAAUACGUAGGUGGCAAGCGUUGUCCGGAUUUAAUGGGUGUAACGGGCGUGUAGCCGGGAGGAAAAGUCAGAUGUGAAAGCCCGCGGCUCAACCGCGGAACUGCAUUUGAAACUGUUUGUCUUGAGUAGCGGAGAGGUACUCGGAAUGCCUGGUGUAGCGGUGAAAUGAGUAGAUAUAGGGAAGAAAACCAGUGGCGAAGGCGGAUGGCUGGACGGAAACUGACGGUGAGGCGCGAAAGCGUGGGGAGCGAACAGGAUUAGAUACCCUGGUAGUC